rnacentral:tRNA from 1 species
GCAUCGGUGGUUCAGUGGUAGAAUGCUCGCCUGCCACGUGGGCGGUGUGGGUUCGAUUCCCGGCCGAUGCA